UACGAAGGGUGCAACCGUUGCUCGGAAUCAUUGGGCGUAAAGCGCACGUAGGCGGCGCUGCAAGUCGGACGUGAAAUCCCUCGGCUCAACCGAGGACGUGCAUCCGAAACUGCAGUGCUCGAGUAUGGAAGAGGGUCGCGGAAUUCUCGGUGUAGAGGUGAAAUUCGUAGAUAUCGGGAGGAACACCAGUGGCGAAGGCGGCUAUCUGGACCGACAUUGACGCUGAGGCGCGAAAGCGUGGGGAGCAAACAGG
rnacentral:rRNA from 1 species